GGCAGAGAGAGAGAGAGAUGUGGUAGUGAAAGGUUGUGAGAGGCUGGUUCCUCUUGACUAUCGGAGGCAGAGAGAGAGAGAGAUGUGGUAGUGAAAGGUUGUAAGAGGCUGGUUCCUCUUGACUAUCGAAGGCAGAGAGAGAGAGAGAGAUGUGGUAGUGAAAGGUUGUGAGAGGCUGGUUCCUCUUGACUAUCAGAGGCAUACAAGGGUAGGGAGGCCGUCCACUUUAUCAUGAAGUUUUUGAGGCGGAGGAGCCUUCAAUCAACUCACAGCGACGGGCAUUACACAGAGCCCACUGUGGCCAUCAAUUUCAAGACCAUCAUCAAGGCAGCAGUUGGGUCGUUUGUCAAGCACUACGGCAAAUUGAUUUUGGUGCCAGAGCCAGGUUUGGCUCAAGAUGGGUGCAAGGGCUUGUUUUAUAGUUUCAUUGCUAUAGCUGAGAUCCUUCAAAAAAUAAAAAGGAAAAAAAAGACCUAUGAGUAGUUGUAUGGGCUUUGAAGAGUGGGAACAUCCUUCCAUGAGAACUGUUUCAUUAAAGUUUCAUAUGAGUCUAUUUUCAAUGGAGAAAAUUAUUAGUCUUGUAGUAUUAGGAUUAAGACUUUCUUUUUCAUAGCUUCUUUGGAGUCUAAUUGAAAAUUGUUAUGCAAAUGCAAAAGUUUUGAAGAUACAAGAGAAGGAAAUUGAAUUGAAGA